rnacentral:rRNA from 1 species
GACGUAGGGCGCGAGCGUUGUCCGGAUUUAUUGGGCGUAAAGAGCUCGUAGGUGGCUUGUCGCGUCGACCGUGAAAACUUGGGGCUCAACCCCAAGCCUGCGGUCGAUACGGGCAGGCUCGAGUUCGGUAGGGGAGACUGGAAUUCCUGGUGUAGCGGUGAAAUGCGCAGAUAUCAGGAGGAACACCGGUGGCGAAGGCGGGUCUCUGGGCCGAUACUGACGCUGAGGAGCGAAAGCGUGGGGAGCGAACAGG